rnacentral:misc_RNA from 1 species
UGAAAUUGAAUAAUAAAAUGGCAGUGAAUGAACUGAAAUUCAAUUUGAGAGAGUCAAUUUGACUAAGUCUAAGUGAGAUAUUGAAAAGUUUUCAAUAUUCCGAAAGCUAACCGAGAUGUCGAAACAUUUUAUUUUCGUUUAAUUUUUUUUUCAUUUUACGAAAAUCGAUCAUCACAACCCGUGGCUACCGGAACCGUAGCGAACUACAUGUUUUCACUAGGGGCCAGUUGGAAACCUUCAACCUUUGAUAUUUCAAAAACGCAGGGAGAUAUCGAAAAUUUUUACGUUUUAGUUUAGUCUUAUUUUGGGCCAUUGUACCAGAUCCAUCAUCAAAUCGCGGGGCCACGGAAACUAUAAUCUCCCCGUAUUGCGUAUCGGACUUGUCUAUUGCUUAAUAGAAGUCCGUGGACUGAACUUCAUUUGAGAGCUCUUUCACUCCGCACGCACGCAGUCAGUUCGCUGUUGUGUUUAGGCCUUUAGUUUGGUACGACGAAUGUCUCCUGGCGGCUCGCGAUGACACUUGAAAAGCUCUACAGAAACGAAUAGGUUAGUAUGUUUUGGUCCGUUAUUUUGGCGUAGUGUAACAGUCCGGCAAGGCGAAUUUCAAUUAUUUCUAAAAUCUGUGUGUUGGGGCGGUUGGGUAAAAAAUGUUAACGCAAAGUUUAGAUCAAGAUGCUCAAGUGACAUCCGGUGAAACACAACUAAAGUCCUUCGGCAGUUUCCUCGAUAACUAUGAUAGUAGGCUAACAUCGCUUCUGAACGGCUUAACUAACGGUCACGCGGAAAAUUUCCAUUCAAAUUUGGAUAAAGUACAAAUUGAAAGUUCCGCAGAGAUUCCAGCAAUAACCAUAUCUUACACACCGCCCAGUGAAUGCAUUUCAAUAUUUCGAUUAGCUGAUUCAGAUAAUAAAACACUCAACAAAGUUCUGGCAACAUUCUCACAAUUGUGCGAUGAGGGAACAAAACUUAAAACUGCAGCGCGGCAGCAUCAAUUUAAGCUACUUUACUUUGAUGAACACCUAUGUGCGUACGAGGAGCAAGGAGAAGAGUGCUUAAAUGGAAUGGGCGAUUUGUUGGAGUUACUUUAUUCUGUCCAGUACUUGUCGCAAAGAUGCAUAACUGUUGCAAGUACGAUUCUCCAACAGUUGGGGGCUCUGUUUGCCUACCGUGCAAUAGAUAAUAGACUGGACUUACAGCUGGCAAUGCAAUUUCAGGAAGUUUUUAAUCGGCUUAGUGAAACCAUCCUGCAAUUGAUUGUUUUCGAUGAAAUUUUGGUCAGUUCCAGGCUCCAAAGUUUCUGGCAAACAUACAAGAAGGCAAUCUACUCAAUAAGUCGGAAUAAGGAUCGAUUCAACCACCCGUACACCGAAUAUGCAAUCAGUGGGCUUAUGAAUGUUCUCAAUUCUCUGGAAAUGUUAUUUGCGGGAAGUCUUUUUCAGUUUGUUUAUAUUAUGUCGAUCGAAUGAAUUCAUCUAUUGUUUGAAAUAGUGACGACUCAUCAUAUUUGAGAUAUGAAUUGAAUAUUGGAAAAGAUAAGGCGAUGAGCCAUAUGAUUACUUGUUAUGAUAUGGGCUGAUGUCAUUAUCUGGACUAUUGGUGAAGGUGACCUUGGGGUUAGGUGCAAGUGUACUAGGCGUACUUAUAUUAAUGGGUGUAAGGUCCUGUGUAACUCCUCCUACCUUAAGUUUAUUGUUGUCCUCAAUUU